GUCCAUGGUUGUUUUUGUAUGGCUGAAAAUUGCUACUUUUUUAGUCCUCUACAUAUUUCCUCAUCAAUUUAUACCUCUGACACAAAAUCUUGAUAAUCUUGCUGUGGAAGGAUCUGAUGCCACCUUCGUCGGGUUAGAGCCCAAGCCGGUAGCUUAGUGAAGUCAAAGUUGGCGAAGAAUAUGAGAUACUUGUUACCAAUUUCGCAGACUAAAUCUUGGAUGCAUAGAUGAGAAAGGAGUAGUGAUUGCUGCUCAUGGUCUGAGUUCUAUUGAUGAUAGCACCAAAGAAAAGCUGGCACCAUUUGCAUCUUUAACUCGUGAUAAAAGCUAUGCUAGUCGGGAUCUUUAAAAGGAGAGCUAAUGAGGUUGGCAAUAGGUCGAGUUUCCAAUGGUGACCUUGAGUUUGCUGAGAAGAUAUGCAGGUUUCUAGAGAUCCACAGGCAACUGACUGUUCUUGCCCCAGACAUGGACAUGGACGAUACAG